UACGAAGGGGCUAGCGUUGCUCGGAAUCACUGGGCGUAAAGGGUGCGUAGGCGGGUCUUUAAGUCAGGGGUGAAAUCCUGGAGCUCAACUCCAGAACUGCCUUUGAUACUGAGGAUCUUGAGUUCGGGAGAGGUGAGUGGAACUGCGAGUGUAGAGGUGAAUUCGUAGAUAUUCGCAAGAACACCAGUGGCGAAGGCGGCUCACUGGCCCGAUACUGACGCUGAGGCACGAAAGCGUGGGGAGCAACAGGG
rnacentral:rRNA from 1 species